CAUUCCAAAGGUCUUGCAUAAGCAUUUUGCCCGCAUAUCAUGUCCUCAUGGUUAUAGAAACCACUGGUGAUCAUAGCUAGGGUGCUAUGUGCCAGGGGGAGAAUUUGAAUUCUCUGUACGCCUUUGGGCCAACCAUGUAGCGGGCUUUGACUGGUUGACGAAGACUUCGUGACGAGUUCUGAUUGAUAAGUCUGCCAUGUUGGCUAAGAUGAAUUUUGGGACGUAUCACGUACAAUAGAUUAUGAGAAUUAAGAAAGAGAGAUAAAUAGUCAUUAAGAUAAGAAAAUAAAAAAUGUUUAAGAGGAAGAGUUAUGUUGCACCACUGGUAGAUUUUUUUUUUGUUGUCGUCGGAGGGGAG
rnacentral:lncRNA from 1 species